GACGAACGCUGGCGGCGUGCCUAAUACAUGCAAGUAGAACGCUGAAGAGAGGAGCUUGCUCUUCUUGGAUGAGUUGCGAACGGGUGAGUAACACGUAGGUAACCUGCCUUGUAGCGGGGGAUAACUAUUGGAAACGAUAGCUAAUACCGCAUAACAAUGGAUGACACAUGUCAUUUAUUUGAAAGGGGCAAUUGCUCCACUACAAGAUGGACCUGCGUUGUAUUAGCUAGUAGGUGAGGUAAUGGCUCACCUAGGCGACGAUACAUAGCCGACCUGAGAGGGUGAUCGGCCACACUGGGACUGAGACACGGCCCAGACUCCUACGGGAGGCAGCAGUAGGGAAUCUUCGGCAAUGGGGGCAACCCUGACCGAGCAACGCCGCGUGAGUGAAGAAGGUUUUCGGAUCGUAAAGUUCUGUUGUAAGUCAAGAACGGGUGUGAGAGUGGAAAGUUCACACUGUGACGGUAGCUUACCAGAAAGGGACGGCUAACUACGUG
rnacentral:rRNA from 1 species